UAAAUGAAAAUAAAACCUUCAAGAAAGGUAGAAAAGCAAUUUUCGUCCCCCAGCUCUAAAUACCUGUUUAUCCCAUAGGCUGCCAUGAUGUGAGCAUGCCCAGUUGGGAUGAUUUAGCGCUCGGCUGAUGACUACCAACGGAAGGACUCCAUGUGAAAAGGUCUCCAAAGGCUUUCUAGAGGGGUCACUCUGCAGCACCAGCACCGUUACUUGUGUCAGCCUCAGGCAAGACCCUUCCUCUUGGAGAGACUUUCCAACCCUCUGACCUGCCAUCAGCUCCUCACCUGGCACCACACACCGAAGCUGCAGGUACCUUUUAUUCCAUCCAGUUUGUCAAACCUGGUGUUUCCUCUUGGGCAAGCACCUGCUGAAACUGAAACCCAACCCAACACAUAGUUG
rnacentral:lncRNA from 1 species